rnacentral:rRNA from 1 species
ACAGUGUCUGGUGGGUAGUUUGACUGGGGCGGUCUCCUCCUAAAGAGUAACGGAGGAGCACGAAGGUUGGCUAAUCCUGGUCGGACAUCAGGAGGUUAGUGCAAUGGCAUAAGCCAGCUUGACUGCGAGCGUGACGGCGCGAGCAGGUGCGAAAGCAGGUCAUAGUGAUCCGGUGGUUCUGAAUGGAAGGGCCAUCGCUCAACGGAUAAAAGGUACUCCGGGGAUAACAGGCUGAUACCGCCCAAGAGUUCAUAUCGACGGCGGUGUUUGGCACCUCGAUGUCGGCUCAUCACAUCCUGGGGCUGAAGUAGGUCCCAAGGGUAUGGCUGUUCGCCAUUUAAAGUGGUACGCGAGCUGGGUUUAGAACGUCGUGAGACAGUUCGGUCCCUAUCUGCCGUGGGCGCUGGAGAACUGAGGGGGGCUGCUCCUAGUACGAGAGGACCGGAGUGGACGCAUCACUGGUGUUCGGGUUGUCAUGCCAAUGGCACUGCCCGGUAGCUAAAUGCGGAAGAGAUAAGUGCUGAAAGCAUCUAAGCACGAAACUUGCCCCGAGAUGAGUUCUCCCUGA